AAAAAGGUAAAAUCGUGUCUGGUAAUACUGUACAAAAUUGCAUAAAACACUGCAAUGUGUUUGUUUUGGAAACUAUUUUCCCUAGUUUUCUAAAAAACGAAAAUGAAAAUGAGAACACGUCAAUUUGACAUUUUCCCAUUAUACGUGUAAACUAGGGAACCAUUUUCAAUUUCUCAUUUUCUACAUUUUUGAAGAUAGGCUAACAGACAAAUUUUCAUUUUACAAAACAAAAAAUAUGCAUUGAAAACGUUACCAAACGCCACCUAAAUAAUUUCAGUAAUCUCAAGCUAGAACAAUACAUUACAUACAUUUUCAUUGCCACGUGUAACAUAAAGCAAAAUAAAAAAUUAAUGGUAUGAACAUGAAUAACAUCUCUCAUUACCUUACAAGUGAAGACUCACUACGUGAGAGGCCAAAGACACAAAAAUGGUUAAUGCUAACUGCUAAUAAAAGGACUUUCUUGUAAUUAGCUAAACUAAUAACUCAGAAAAAGAAAUAAAUAGUAGAGCCAAAUAAUGCCCAACUUGUAUUAGGCCUAAAGGAAGCAGCCCACAAACAGUGGCACCCAAACCCAGCUAACCUACCGAACCCUGUGAUGACCUAACUAGGCGGGUGUUGAAGGCACUGACAAGCUAGCAGGUGCAUGCAUGUCCCACAUCGUCUAGGGGAGACAAGUUGUUGUGCUUAUACAGUAUGUGCAGAGUCAGCUCCAUACAUUGAGACGUAUUUCGGGGUAAAACCUCAAGAAUAAAACCGUAAGGGUUAGUAGGCCCAAAGCGAAUAAUAUCUUAGCUGUGUGGACUAGACUGUUACAGAUGGUAUCAAAGCCUGUUUCUAGCCAGAAGUGUGUCAAUGAUGACAUCGAUAUCGGUUCCCUAAAGGGGUUAAUGUGGUGACCUGAUUGGGAUGGUGUUGAAGGCACUGAGUUCACUCGCCCGGGGGAGACGAUCGAGUUGUUGUGCUUAUAUAUGUAAAGUCAACUCCUUACAUUGAGAUGCACUUUGAGAUGAAACUUCAAGAACAAAACAAGGAGGGUACGCCUCUCCACACCCACCCAAACAAUUCCCUAGCCAAAAGUGUGUUGAUGACAACAACGAUAUCGGUUCCCUAAAGGGGUUACUGUGGUGACCUGACUAGGCUGGAGUUGAAGGCGCUGAGUGCACUCGCCCGGGGGAGACGAGUUGUUGUGCUUAUAUAUGCGGAGUCAGCUCCUUACAUUGAGAUGCACUUUAGGAUGAAACCUUAAACAACAACCCUCCUUGUUUAGAUGCACUUUAGGAUCGAAACCCCCCCCCCCACACAAAAAAAUUCCCUCAUGCCUUCCUUUAAAUCUUUGGCUCUGAAUCUCUCAUUCGACAACAGUGCGGAUAAGCUUCACACGAGAUUAUCCGCUGCCAAACGAGUACAAUUCCAACAGAGGGGAACGCCGCCGCCUCCUUUCUUAUAGGGUUUUCAAAAUUAGUUUUUUGUUUUCUUCUAAAAUCAUCCAUAUCAAGCUAUCUAUAUCUAGGGCAAAUUAAAGAACGUGGUAUGUGGCACCACCCAUUAUUCAGUUCUCACUUAUUGUAAAGCAAACCUCACAACUAUAAAAACAUAACAUAGUAAUUAGGCUUAAUUUUUGAUUAGGUUUCAAAGAACUAAUAAUUUUCAAUUAGAUGUAUGUUUCUUCAAUUAAUAAAAUUAUCUUGUACUGUAGAGAUUUCCUAUCAUAUUUUUUAUUUUUAUUUUUUUCUUCCUUUGGUAAGAAAUUCAUGCCCCACACCAAGGUUGUUGAUGCAGUGCAACUUAUUUAACGAUUUUAACCCACAAUAGAACUUUAAUAAUUUGAUACUCGAUAAAUUAAUAACCUUGAUUAAAUAACACUCUUUGUCGGUUUCAAAAUUUUUAUCAAAAAGAAAAUUUCUAACAUGAAUUAGCUUUUCUCUUUCUAUUUUACUUGUGCUAAACAACGAUCAAGGGAGAAAACCCUAAGCCUCCAAAACCAUUUUUUUUUUUCAACUUCUGCCAAAUUACUUGUCUGGCGGUGAUCAGAUCUGUGAUGCCCUCUGGCCUUGCUGGUCUCAGAAGUGCGCUGGACGGGUAUCCUAUUUGAUUUCAAUCUCGGAGCAAGACCGACUUGAGCAAGGUAGAGGGGUUUCAAGCUUUCAUGGUUUUUUUUUCCCGGCUAAAGGAAGCGUCGACACAAGCAUGGGUAACUCAGCUUGAUCUGGUAGAUUAUGAUGAGAUCAAUGGUAACUCAGCCUAUAUCAAUGGUGAGAUCCUUUUUUUGGUGCAGGGUUUGUAGGGGGUUUUUUGUUUGGAUCCCGCUGACUUCACGUUGUCGUUGAAUCAGAGAUCUAUAUGUUGACGUGUGCUGCUGAGGGAGAUGGAGAAGUCCCAUGGUGAUGGGGUUUGAAGGUGGUGGGUUGCGAUGUGGCAGGGUCGGUGGCAGAAUUCCUGCUGUGGUUGGAAUCCGACGGCGGCGGUGGCGGCACGACGACUUUUGUGGGUGGUGUGAUGGUUGUUGGUGAUGACUGCAAACUUAGGCUGAGAUCAUGCACCAAACCCGUUUGGCCUUGUUUCAUUGGUUUGCUCUGGACCUAAUAUGUCUUGGGCCUAGGGUUUUUUUUCACUCUGGGUUCAAGAUGGUUAUCUUUUUUAGUUUUUUCUAAGCCUAUUUUUUUGGGCCGUUAGAGUUUUAAAUUAGUUUUUACUAAUUUAUUUCCAAUAAGUCUCUAUGUAGGUUUCUAGGAAUCUAGGUAGGUUUUGAUGCCUGCAUAUUAUGAUGUUUCUUUUACAUCUAGAUAGUGAACACUUCUUGUCGUACCGCAAUUGAACGCCUUGGCGACAAAAGUUUUCAUGCAAAAUUAUCUCUAUGUAGGGUUAGAUUAUAGCUUGCUAGGCUCAUCAUCGAUGAGCAACAGUGUACAAUGUAAUGAUAUGUGAAUCACCUCAAUUUGUUUCUGGCUGCGAUUAUUAAUACAAUGAGUUAUAUGCCCGCGUUUGCUUCAAAAAGAAAUAAGGAUUUAGUGCAAAUUGACCUCAAUAAUUUAAUAAGUGCUGCGGGAGAAAUAAACUGAGAGAGAGAUUUUGGGGAGAAUAUCGUUGUUAUUUCAUUCAUAGAAUAAGCCUCUAUAUAUAAAAGAUACAAUACAUUAGGAAAGUACAUAUAUUCCUAUUACAAUAUGAUAUCGAAUCCUAUAUUGAUUCUACUUUGACUAAGGCACACACAAUAAAUCAUAUUUCCUUAAACACUCCCCCUUGUGCCGUGUUAAAGUAAUAUGAUAUAUUCAGAUGCAUUCCAUGUUGCCUCAUUAAAAACCUUGCCAAGUAACAAUAAAACCUCAUGGGCAAAAUAACCUUGGUCGAAGGAACAAAAAGAGUACAACGCAUCAUUCACAUUUGAAAUUGANNNNNNNNNNNNNNNNNNNNUUUUGCUUGGGGAGCCAUGGCCUGUGACACCAUUAUGCCACAUUAUGGCGUCACUAUGCCACCAUCCAUGGUGACGGCGUCGACACCAAUUUCAUUAGGUGGCGCCAUGUCCUCUUGAUAGGACAUUAAUCCUUACAGACAUGUUUGCAGCAUGUAUAUUAUGAUCUCGUCACUUUAACAAUAUUAGAUAACACAUCAGGCAUCGAAUCUGUUACGUUAUGAAGAUCAAUUAUUCUACGCACUUUAAUAUUGUGCGGUUUUGAGGAUCAUGAUGAGACAAAGUGGGGAUAAAUUACGACAAUUUCCUGUCGUUAUCUUUGAACAUUCUUGUUCUUAUCUCCCCCUAACGAUGGGAAGAUUGUCUCAUCAAAGUGACAUUCCGCAAAUAUGGCGGUAAAGAGAUUGUCUGUCAAGGUUUCAACAAAGCGGACUAUAGUUAGAGACUUAUAUCUAACAUAAAUACUUAUUCAUGUCUAAGAACCCAUCAUAGUGUGCUGUGGCUGCACAAUUUUGGCACAUAAAUGCGUAAGUCACUAGCUUUAACGCAUAGAAAGGUUAAGCGGUGAUGGUUCGUAGAUGAAUUAGUAUAGCUGCAUGCAAUCGCAUAACCCAGUGGAAAAAUUGGUGCGCAUUACCAAAAUUUAGGCUACUAUCGUAGUCAUUUACUUAUAACUUUCCGCGAGACCAUUUGGGCAUGUACAUGGGAACAUGAUAUCAAACAUCAUUCCAUCAAAAUGUACAAUAGUCAUCCAAAAUUGUCGAUGUGAACUCUCUUGCAUUAUCAAGUCGAUUGACUGAAUGGGAUGAUAUGGGUAGUGAGCCCAAUAUAUAAUUAGUGCUAGAAGUUAUAUUAUAAGUAGCAUAUAUAACUAGUAGACGAUAGUGCGACACAUGACCAGAGUGUAUAUAUGCACGUCAAC
rnacentral:lncRNA from 1 species